rnacentral:misc_RNA from 1 species
GCAGUUAAGUAGUUGGUCCACUGCUACGUGUACUCAGUCUGAGAUUUCACUAUAGUUUGAACUCAGGUGGAUAUUACACAAUAGUUUUAACUCGGUCGGGACUACAUCCUGAGACCAUACUACAUGUAUUCUUGAUCCCUUUUCGGAAUUCCAUUCAAAAAAUUACCAAGCAGCCUCUGAUCAAGUAUCAUCCCAGGCACUUUGUCACCAAAGAAAAUCUUUGAGUUGUUUGUGAUGGCUUGAAUAAACUUGAGCUCCAGAAAUUCAGGCGUGAGCUUCAGUUUGUUAGCUUCUGCUUCUUUCAUUGUUCUGUAAAAGCUGGCAUCAGCCUGGCUCUGCUCCCGUGCAAUAUACAUUUCAUUCUCAAUCUCCUGCUCCCUUUUGUGACUAUCCUUUUCUGUCAGCAUUUGUAACAUGUGAAUCCUGCUAACCUGAGCAUUCUUCUCGGCUUCUGAAAGGGCGAUCUUCUUUUGGGUCUCUGCCUCCUUCUCUGCAACCUUCUGUUUUUCUAUGGCAAUCAAGGCCUUGGUUCUCUCCUCUUCCAUAUGUUCGAAAUUUCUCUUAAUGGUAGCCGGGAUAUUUGGCUUUGUAACACGAACACCGAUGAUUUCAAUUCCCGGGGCAUAACGAGUACAGUCACUUUGAAUAGCUUCUUUCAUUUUUUCAUCUAUCUGAUCAAACAUGUCAAUAUAUACUUGCUGCAGACUGU